ensembl:lncRNA
UCCCUUCCAACUCAAACCAUUCUAUGACUCAUUAUUUCAGGACAGGCGUUGGAUAUCAGAUUUCUUUCUGCUCUUGCAUGACGAAUGGGAUACGUACGGACUGUGGGGCAUUGGGCAGCAAUAGGGGACAAGUGGGAAACCUUUGGAAACAUCCAUGCUGCCAGCAGUCACAAGGAGGUGCAGUCCCGGUGUGAUCUGCUCGUUUCUGGCUGCACAAAAAGAAAAAGAGAAAAGGAAAAAAGCAACACAAGAAGCUGCAGUUUGACCUUCAGGAUCUUCCAGAGGUAAACAGCUCCUGUGAUUGAACAGCAGCCAUCCCCAUUAGAUUGCCCAAGCGAGGGACGCGUGGACCGAGCAAUUCUUCUUACUGGAGUUCAAGGCACCCCUGAGCCUGCCUUCCCACGGGGAAAAUCAGAGCAAUUUUGGCACACAAAAGAAAACCAAAGACCACAAAACCCGGCACAAACACUUUCUGAUCUCUUUGUUAGGAAACCAGGCAGAAUCCCUGCAAGAAGCUCCUCUCUGUUGGAGCCCCGGAGCCCAAAGCAGCACAGCAGCAUCUUUCACACACUUCCCUUGCUUUUUUUUUUUUAAUGUGUGAUAUAAAACAACAGAUGCAGCCUUCAAAGCACGAAGCACAUCUUUUAGUGAUAGGUAAUCUCUGUAUUCUCAACAACCAGCACCAAAAUUAGGCUGCUCGUUUUCCACAUGCAUUUAUUUCCUUGUGCUGUAUCCCUGGGCUGAAGGCUGAAUCCAACUUGCAUAAAUAUGUAUGAAAACUCCCUUACUGAUGUCAGACGUACCUGGACCAGGCACAGAGUUUCUUGACAGAAGAGGUUUGCAUUGAUGUGCUAUCCUAUGCAAAUAUGCAACCUCAGUAAAAUGAAAUGGAGUGUUUAAGCCUUGUUAUACACUGAUGGAAAUGUAACAUUCCUUCUACAUGAGCCCAUAUAAUUAAAAAGUGAAUAUCAGUUCUGGUGAUUAACAUUUAUUACCAAAUAAACAUUUUGAUUAC